rnacentral:rRNA from 1 species
CCUACGGGAGGCAGCAGUAAGGAAUAUUGGUCAAUGGACGCAAGUCUGAACCAGCCAUGCCGCGUGCAGGAUGACAGCCCUAUGGGUCGUAAACUGCUUUUAUAAGAGAAGAAACCUUUCUACGUGUAGAGAGCUGACGGUAUCUUAUGAAUAAGGACCGGCUAACUCCGUGCCAGCAGCCGCGGUAAU